rnacentral:rRNA from 1 species
UCGCGAGUCUUAGGGACUCGGCGUACCGCUCAGUAACACGUGGGUAACCUGCCUUAUGCUGGGGGAUAACCUCGGGAAACUGAGAAUAAUACCCCAUAGUUCACCACGCCUGGAACGGUGGGUGGAUCAAAGCCCCGGCGGCAUAGGAUGGGCCUGCGGCGUAUCAGGUUGUAGGGGGUGUAAUGUACCCUCUAGCCCUCUACGCGUACGGGUGUUGAGAGACAUAGCCCGGAGAUGGAUUCUGAGACACGAAUCCAGACCCUACGGGGUGCAGCAGGCGCGAAAACUUGGCAAUGCGAGAAAUCGUGACCAGGGAACUCCAAGUGCAUCGGGUAAGACCGAUG